rnacentral:rRNA from 1 species
AAAAGAACCCCGGGAGGGGAGUGAAAUAGAACCUGAAACCGCAUGCAUACAAACAGUAGGAGCCUCGUCAGAGGUGACUGCGUACCUUUUGCAUAAUGGGUCAGCGACUUACAUUCUGUGGCGAGCUUAACCGAAUAGGGGAGGCGCAGCGAAAGCGAGUUCGAAAUGAGCGUCCAGUCGCAGGGUGUAGACCCGAAACCAGAUGAGCUAUCCAUGGCCAGGUUGAAGGUGUGGUAACACACACUGGAGGACCGAACCGACUAGUGUUGCAAAAUUAGCGGAUGAGCUGUGGAUAGGGGUGAAAGGCCAAACAAAUCUGGAGAUAGCUGGUUCUCCCCGAAAACUAUUGAGGUAGUGCCUCGUGUGUCGCUCCAGGGGGUAGAGCACUGUUUUGGCUAGGGGGACAUGGAGUCUUACCAAACCAAGGCAAACUCCGAAUACCUGGAAGCGUGAGCACGGGAGACAGAGCACCGGGUGCUAACGUCCGGACUCAAAAGGGAAACAACCCAGACCGCCGGCUAAGGUCCCCAAUAACAGCUAAGUGGAAAACGAAGUGGAAAGGCCGUGACAACCAGGAAGUUGGCUUAGAAGCAGCCAUCCUUCAAAGAAAGCGUAAUAGCUCACUGGUCGAGUCCUUCUGCGCGGAAGAUGUAACGGGGCUAAGCUGUUAACCGAAGCCGCGGAUGCACUGAUUAUUCAGUGCGUGGUAGGGGAGCGUUCUGUAAGUCUGCGAAGGCGGUUCGAGAGGACUGCUGGAGAUAUCAGAAGUGCGAAUGCUGACAUGAGUAACGUUAAAGCAGGUGAAAAGCCUGCUCGCCGUAAGCCCAAGGAUUCCUGCUCUACGUUCAUCGGAGCAGGGUGAGUCGGCUCCUAAGGUCAGGCCGAAAGGCGUAGCCGAUGGGAAUCAGGUUAAUAUUCCUGAACCUGCGUCAGAUGCGAUGGGGGGACGGAGCAUGAAAGAUCAUCCGGGUGUUGGAUGUCCCGGUUGACGAGCGUAGGAGGUCUGCAGGCAAAUCCGCAGACGCAUCUCCAAGGCAAAGACACGUGCCGCCACGGCGGCGAAGUGAUCGGAAGUGCUUCCAAGAAAAGCCUCUAAGCACCAGUCUGACGCGGACCGUACCGCAAACCGACACUGGUGGGCGAGCUGAAUAUGCUCAGGCGCUUGAGAGAACUCGGGAGAAGGAACUCGGCAAAUUGACACCGUAACUUCGGAAGAAGGUGUGCCGUAGUAGCGUGAGAGGAGAGACUCCUCGAGCGUGAAUCGGUCUCAGAGAAUAGGUGGCUGCGACUGUUUAUUAAAAACACAGCACUCUGCAAAGUCGAAAGACGACGUAUAGGGUGUGAUGCCUGCCCGGUGCUGGAAGAUUAAUUGAUGGGGUGAGAGCCCUUGAUCGAAGUCCCAGUAAACGGCGGCCGUAACUAUAACGGUCCUAAGGUAGCGAAAUUCCUUGUCGGGUAAGUUCCGACCUGCACGAAUGGCAUAACGAUGGCCACACUGUCUCCUCCCGAGACUCAGUGAAGUUGAAAUGUUUGUGAUGAUGCAAUCUACCCGCGGCUAGACGGAAAGACCCCAUGAACCUUUACUGCAGCUUUGCAUUGAACUGUGAACCGAUUUGUGUAGGAUAGGUGGGAGGCAGAGAAGAGGCCACGCCAGUGGUCUUGGAGCCGACCUUGAAAUACCACCCUGAUUUGUUUGCGGUUCUAACCACGGACAGUGAUCCUGUCUUGGGACCGUGCAUGGUAGGCAGUUUGACUGGGGCGGUCUCCUCCUAAAGGGUAACGGAGGAGUACGAAGGUACGCUAGGUACGGUCGGAAAUCGUGCUGAUAGUGCAAUGGCAAAAGCGUGCUUGACUGCGAGAGCAACAACUCGAGCAGAUGCGAAAGCAGGUCAUAGUGAUCCGGUGGCUCUGAAUGGAAGGGCCAUCGCUCAACGGAUAAAAGGUACUCUGGGG